rnacentral:rRNA from 1 species
CAGUAGCCGCGGUAAUACGAAGGGGGCUAGCGUUGUUCGGAAUCACUGGGCGUAAAGCGCACGUAGGCGGACUUUUAAGUCAGGGGUGAAAUCCCAAGGCUCAACCUUGGAACUGCCUUUGAUACUGGAAGUCUUGAGUUCGGGAGAGGUGAGUGGAACUGCGAGUGUAGAGGUGAAAUUCGUAGAUAUUCGCAAGAACACCAGUGGCGAAGGCGGCUCACUGGCCCGAUACUGACGCUCAUGCACGAAAGCGUGGGGAGCAAACAGGAUUAGAUACCCCGGUAGUCCCUGUCUCUUAUAC